GGGCCCGCACAAGCGGUGGAGCAUGUGGUUUAAUUUGAUGCAACGCGAAGAACCUUACCAGGGUUUGACAUGACAUAAAUCUUUCAGAGAUGAUUGAGUGCCCUUCGGGGAAUAUGUACACUGGUGGUGCAUGGCUGUCGUCAGCUCGUGUCGUGAGAUGUUGGGUUAAGUCCCGCAACGAGCGCAACCCACGUCUUUAGUUGCCAGCAUUUAGUUGGGCACUCUAGAGAGACUGCCGGUGAUAAACCGGAGGAAGGUGUGGAUGACGUCAAGUCAUCAUGCCCCUUACAUCCUGGGCUACACACGUACUACAAUGGUUAGGACAAAGAGUCGCAAGUUUGCAAAAACAAGCUAAUCUCGUAAACCUAGCCUAAGUUCAGAUUGUAGGCUGCAACUCGCCUACAUGAAGUUGGAAUCGCUAGUAAUCG
rnacentral:rRNA from 1 species